rnacentral:rRNA from 1 species
CUGGCCAGCGCCUGCCAGAGGACCUGUAAAAUCUGUGUUAGUGUCGUCUGAGUACUAUCUAAUAGUUAAAACUUUCAACAACGGAUCUCUUGGUUCUGGCAUCGAUGAAGAACGCAGCGAAAUGCGAUAAGUAAUGUGAAUUGCAGAAUUCAGUGAAUCAUCGAAUCUUUGAACGCACAUUGCGCCCUCUGGUAUUCCGGAGGGCAUGCCUGUUCGAGCGUCAUUAUACCCCUCAAGCCUAGCUUGGUAUUGGGACGCGCCGCCCGCCCGGCGGCGCUCCUUAAAAUCAGUGGCGGCUCAGCUCAGCUUCAAGCGUAGUAAUUUUUUCUCGCUCUGGAGCCUGGGUUGGUGCCUGCCAGAAGCCUANAUUUUUUUCAGGUUGACCUCGGAUCAGGUAGG